UGAGGGAGAGGGGAUAAAUGGAGAGAGGGCCUCCUGACACUCUCUCCUUGGAUGCUGGCCACGUUUCGAAGGGCUUCCCAGCUUCCCAUGGUAGGUGUGAAGACCAAGGCUGGUUUGACAUCGCAGCAGAUGUGACUUAAAGCCUGCUAAGUGAGACGAGUUAUACAAUUAAUCGAAACACUUGGUUCUAAAGGAACAGAGGCAACAACAAGAAACAGAGUGCUGAUGCCGAUGCCUUCUUGCAAAACAAAGGGAUGUGACAUCUAUCAGACCUGAGGCACGAGGAAGCAGCACCUGGUG